AGGCUCUCCUCGACUGGAUACCAAUAGCCAGUCGCUUGUGCGCUAUCCGUCUAAAUGGAACGCUAAGGACUCGUAAAGAUAGGUACACACGCCG
rnacentral:precursor_RNA from 1 species